rnacentral:tRNA from 1 species
UCCGAUAUGGUGUAGUGGUUAACAUUAUCGCCUCUCAUUGAAGACCGCGAUAGCCCGGGGUUCGAUUCCCCGUGUCGGAA